rnacentral:ncRNA from 1 species
GUAUCUUAUGUUGUACAAGCCCCACAGUACAACCUUAGCACUAGCUAACUUUUAAUGCCACUAUGUAAUUCGUGCAUUACUGCUAGCCAACAUGAAUAAUAUAUA